rnacentral:lncRNA from 1 species
AGAAAAAGUCAUGAACUCUGAAUCACAACCGAAAUCUCAAACCCCAACUUUUGUCUAUCUGUUCUUGUUUCCUUUUUGCACAAACGUUGUCCUCUAAAACUUGUUUGUUGCUUCCAAUUGUUUUUUCUUUUUUUUUUUUCUCACAGUUUUAUUUUUUUGGUUUUCCUUUCUUUUUGUCCGUGAUGUUGUUUUCUUGUUUUCACUAGAAUGUUAUAGUGUGUGUUUGCAAAUGUUUUUUGUUUUCUAUUUUGUUCUGUGUUCUGAUAUUCAAUGUACAGUGUAGGCAAAA